CCCCCAGGCUCUAUCCACUUUGAGGGGUUUGUUUCUUUAACAUAUUUUAAACCUUUAUUAUUAUUUUUUUUAUGUGUAUAAGUGUUUUGCCAGCCUGAAUGUCUAUGUACCACAUGCACAUGUUGGCAGUGCCAACAGAAGCCAGAAGAGGGAGUCAUGCGCUCUGGGACUGGAAUUGUAGCCAGAUGCAAGUCAUUAUGUGGAUACUGAGAAUGAAACCCUGGUCAUCUGGAAGAACAGCCAGUGCUCUUAACUGCUGGGCCAUCUCUCCCUGAUUUUGACACAGGGUCUUUUGCUGGCCUGGAGCUCACCAAAGAAGGCUAAGCUAACUGGCCAGAAAGCCCCAGGGAUCCUCUUGGGUCUGCCUCCCCAGUGCUGAGUGCAGACCUGAACCACCACAGCUGGCUUUUUAUGUGGCUUGUGGGAGACUGAAGUCAGGUCCUCGUGUUUCCCCUGUGAGUAUUGAAUGUGACUGCAGAUCUGAGGUUCAGCUGGGAAGAGAGAGUGGUGUUCAGAACAGCCUCAGCUUGACUGAUUCAUCAACGUUCAGUCUGUGGCCCUCCCUCGAAGUGAGGGGACACUGUGAAGUUGUACUAUCUCAGCCUUUGCUCUAUUGAGACAGGCUCCAGAAAUGCUGUGCUCAGCCUCCUCGGUCAGAUUGCAGAUGCCACGCACGCACGGGCUUUGGGGUCCUGAUGAGAUGUCUCCGUUCACUCUCUUCGUGGAGUUCACGUCUGAGUUACACCCACAGCAAUGCUUUCCCAUGGGUCCUGGUGUUUCUGGAAGAGGCCUGGUCCCACCACAUGGCAUCAGAUAAAGGUCACUGCCUCUUGCUGUCCAAGUGCUGACGGUACCCGCAUGCUUUCUGCUCCAGAGAGAACAGUUUGUUCGGAUUAAAUCACAUUCCCUUGGGCCUCCACGUAGGUAGGCCAUGGAGGAGGGGAGAGCAGCAGAGGGUCCAUGGCUCUGGGUCAGUGGAUGGUAUCUUUUAUUUGCCAUGCUUGGCAGGCACCCUUGGGUAGCUACAGGAGCAUAGAUGUAUUUGGUAAUUGCAGGAAGAGCUGAAGCAAUCUGUUAUCGGCUUCAGCAUCGCUGAGUGCACCAUGUGCCUAGAGUGGCCAUCUUGAAUUGAUUGUUCUGGCUCUCCAAGUCAGCAGCGAACUCUGUGCCAAUCGCCUAUGCCAGCAGAUGGCUCCAAAUGAGGUCAUUGUUUUGACAGUUUCACAAAAGAGCCCCAAACAGACUGAAACAAGCCUCACACAUGUUGGAUCGCCCUGAACAGUUACGAGAUAAAAAAUGAACUUGGACCAAACCUUUGGGAACCUUUGGGAAAAGUAAAACACUCCGGAGGGUCCUUCAUGGAGGGUCCUUCAUUGACUGCUCACAUCUGUGACUGUCCCUGGGGCAAGCUGGGACAGAUUUGCCUCACCCCCUCUGUUCGCCUCCUGUCUCCCCUCUGCCCUGGGUGUUGGAACUGCCUGGGUGGCAGUGAUUAUCUCAUUAGGGAGAAGACAAUUAUUUCAAACCUUGGUGAUUACAAGCUCCAUGUAGAAGCAUCUUGGCAGUCUGGGGGCUGAUGUUCUUGGAAUAAUCUCUGUCUUUUACCAACUCCCAAAGUAUAUGUGUAGUAAGUCACAUAGCCUCAAAGAAGCAUUGGCAAUUCAUAGAAUUAGACUGUCCUCCGGGACCUCUUAUCAUUGGGUUGGGAAAUUAAACAGGCUUUGUGUCUUGGCUUCCAGAGUAUGCACUGCCACAUAGCAUGAUCCCUUGAUGGGAACUCUAGGGUCUCAAACACUACUCUCCUUUAGCUGAGGUUCUCAAGCUCAGUAUAAAACAGGAAGUUAUUUUCUGCUCCUUGUUUCCAAUGUGGUCUCCCAUCAGUGCUGGGCUUAACAGCAGGCACAUUGCCCUCCUUCUUCUCAAGGCAGCAGAGAGAGCUCUGAGGUGGAGGUAUAUCCUCUGAUGAGAUGUCUCCGUUCACUCUCUUCGUGGAGUUCACGUCUGAGUGGAGGUAUAUCCUCUGCCCUCACAUUCUAGUUCUGGAACCUCAUGAAAGUGUUCUCCAAGCUUCACAUCAUAUUAGUUCCCUAACAGAACCACAAAGUGAUUGGCAUGUGCACAUGUGCAAGCACACACACACACAUAAGUACA